CUCAGAUUUCAAAGAUAAUCUUGGUAACCUCCAUCACAUUUACAUUUGAGUAACCCCGCCUGAGAAGUCUAGUGUUCUGGUAGGGCAUGUGAUCUUUUAAACUGCUUCCCGUCUGUCGUUGCGUUCGUGGCUGCCUUAACGUACGCGUUGGUCAGUAACGUAGCUUUAGGCUUGUUGAAUACUGAUUAGGUUGCAGUUACACUACCAACUGAUCGGGGAUCGGGGUGCAUUCAACUUUACAUGGCCCUGGAAGGAUAAACUUCACUCUUUCGGACAAUAUUUGUUUGCUAAAAUAUUCUUCCUAGUUGUCUACCGCUAGAAAAUAGAUAUCUGGUGGACCAAGGGUGACAUUCCCACUCAGUAUUAUUGUUAAAAUAUAAAUCACGAAGGGCUUUGUAUUUCGUGGUCAAGCUAAAGGAUCAGAAACGGCUCGCUUGUCUAAUAUUGGGAUUUAAUUUCGAAAGAGAUUGAGCGGUAACGGCUCAGUGUGCCCGCUUGAGCGAUUCUACGUAAAUCCGCCGCGACGAGAGUACAAUAAAACGUUUUCCUUCUAAACUUUGAUUAUUACCCGUGCAUCGGAUAAGCUACAACACUUAACGGACUGUUGACCUGUAUUUUGAAAUUAGGCUUUUGUAGGUCUUUGUAGGUACAACUCGCGUGCGAAAAUGCAGAUAAAAACUGGUGAAAUUUUUGUUUUUUUGGCGGGAAAUCGAUACGAGUGCCCGCGAGCACUCAAAACCAGCGGAUUUCUUCUCAGCAUAAAAUCCAAUAUGGCGGGUCUGUGGGCAACAUAAAACGUCAAUCAAUGCAGAUCGGCGAAGGUUUUCUCUCAAAUAAUCAGCACUUGUACUUGUUUUUGGAUUUUGUACCGAACAGAUUCUACAUUGAUGAUAAUUAUUCUUGAUUGAUGUCAGUUUUUAAACAAGGCUGGUGCUCUUGAUCUUGAUCCUCGGUCUUCAGUUCGUUCCACGGGGAAUCAUCGUUCCUUUGGAAGUUGAAGGAGUAUAAGCGGUAAAAGAAGAGUACCAAGAAUACCCGGAGGUGAGACCAGCCAAGUAGAAAGAACGAAGAAAACCUGAAGGGAGACUGAGCUGUUUAACAGACUCCCACCCUGUAUGAGCUAAUAUACUGGAUACGCAGCAACAACGUCAGGGGAAUAUAUAAAAGAUAAGUAAGAAAUUCACAGAACAGUAUCUGUAGGUCACACAGUUUGCUACCCUUAGUUGUUGUGAUCAUAACUAUCCUUACCAAGUUUGCACUAAAAUACCUUCAGGCUAAAAGAAUGGACCGUAACAAAUUCAUUUGUGACCACAACUUUUUAGCAAUUCAAUGUCUGGAUUCAACUUCCAAAGAAAAAUAAUUCACCACCUAUCUGACAAAGAAGUUACUGCUAUCACUCUAACUCCCUGUGUUUCUUGACCUGUGAAGCAAACACUGGUCCUUCUUCCUAAUUGUACAAGAGAAAUUUGUUUAGGCCCUUGGACUGUCUGCAUGCGUGGAAUGGAUCUUGAACCUUGUACAAGAGAUGGGUGUAAGAACUGACCUGCACAGGAUUUGGUUCCACCCAACAAAUUCCUUUCCUGAGUUUCUUGAUUUGUGAAACAAAGAUUGGUCUUCCAAACUGUAGAAGAGAAGAAAUUUGUUUUGGCCUUUGGACUGUCUGCAUGCGUGGAAUGGAUCUUGAACUUUGUACAAGAGACGGGUGUAAGAACUGACCUACAAAGGAGUUGGUUCCACCCAACAAAUUCUCUUCCUAAGUUUCUUGAUCGGUGAAACAAAGACUGAUCUUCCAAAUUGUAGAAGAAAAGAAAUUUGUUUUGGCCCUUGGACUGUCUGCAUGCGUGGAAUGGAUCUUGAACUUUGUACAAGAGACGGGUGUAAGAACUGACCUACAAAGGAGUUGGUUUCACCCAACAAAUUCUCUUCCUGAGUUUCUUGAUCUGUCCAACAAAGACUGGUCUUCUAAAUUGUACAAGAGGAGACAUUUUGUCUUGGCCCUUGGCCUGUCAGCAUGCAUGGAAUGGAUCUUGAGAAUAGUGAUCUCUAACAUCUUUUUGUUUGGAAUCGAAUUGGUUUUAAAUUCAAUUUUACUGUCAGCUGAUCUGUAAGAAAAUUAUGAAGUUUCCUCUGUGUUUAGUACAACAGGGAGUAAACCGGAGAAAAUUCAAUCUGAUAUGGCCAAGUGAGGUCAUACAAUGUAGUUGAAUUAUAAAGCUAAUUUUUGGUUUGUUAUUCCUUCCCUUGUGAUAUUCAGGUGUAGAGCUGCAUUUCAAGUUUCCAUUCUUGAUGCUCAGUUGUAAAAAAAUCAGUUAGGAAAUAACAAGCCACAACGAAACAUGUCAAGGCAGCAGUGGAAGUGCAGCAAACGUUUGCUUCAUAGAAGUUAAUCUCACGUUGAAACAUUAAUGACGCCCUAAGCUGCUGCUUCUUUUUUUUUUUUUUAUUUCGUCAACACUUACACUUCAUUACAUUAAUUACUUACACUUCAUUACUUAAUUUUUUUAGUCAGUUUCGACUAUUUAUAUCAUUUCUUAAAACAUUGCUCUUUUGUUUUGAACGUUAAUUGUACGAAGACGAAAGACUAGAUGUUGUUUCCUGCACAAUCAGUCGGGAUUAUUCAAAACACCUUACGCAUGAUGGCCGUCAUGUUGGUUUUGACAUGAAAGUUGAGUGGCAAAUUGGAAUUUCUGAAGUGAAAAUGAGUUUAAAAAUGUGCAAAUUUCAACUUCUUUCUUAUUAUUUCUGAUAGUGUUUAGUAGCCAGGCUAUGCUUCUCGUAUGGCUCUAUAAAGUACUCUCAAUUAUAGGCAAUUUUGGUGCAUUUCUGAAAACAAAAGGGCUUGGUCAUAUCGCUCAACUAGAGUAAUCUAACCAUAGUAGUAAAAUCAAGAUUUCUUUAUUUUGCACAGUGUUUUACUUUUGAAGAGUCCAUCUUCCGACAACUCUCGUCUUCCAAUGUUUGGUUCUCGAAAGACCACAUGGCUAAUUUACAUUAAACAUGAAAACUGUCAUGGCGGCUAAUGUGAAUGAGGUCUAUUGACGUGCUUGGGAAUAGAGUUUUCUCCCAAAGGGCUUCUCGUGUUUUUAUGAAGCCAGUGACGAAAAUAGCUGACCGUUUGAAGUGUAAAAUCAGUUCUCGGAUGUAUUUUAAAGCGAAGAAGAAAGGCAAAAAGCAAAUGAACUUUUAAUAGCUGCCCUAACAAAAGAAAAUGUCGUGUGCGAAAGCAUCCAGCUGUGAAAUGUAGGUAAGACCUAGGUACUCUUUCAGUUUUAUUUACAACUCAACAUGCAGCUAAGAUAAAUAACUUGAAACGGUAAUUUUUUAGCGCUGUAUUCAGUUUGUUACUUGGGAGUUUAGUAACCACGACGGCGACGCCGAGGACAACGUCGAUUAAAGAAUGAAUUUAUAUUUACUUACGAAUCUCUCGGUACUCUAAGGUCAUUUACUUUGUUUAUCAUUGUCAAAACUAUCACAAAAAUAAAUCUGGAACACAGCGAUGAAUUUGA